AUAUCAAUAAGCGGAGGAAAAGAAACCAACAGGGAUUGCCCUAGUAACGGCGAGUGAAGCGGCAACAGCUCAAAUUUGAAAUCUGGCUCUCGGGCCCGAGUUGUAAUUUGUAGAGGAUGCUUUUGGUGCGGUGCCUUCCGAGUGCCCUGGAACGGGACGCCAUAGAGGGUGAGAGCCCCGUCUGGUUGGAUGCCAAUCCUCUGUAAAGCUCCUUCGACGAGUCGAGUAGUUUGGGAAUGCUGCUCUAAAUGGGAGGUAUAUGUCUUCUAAAGCUAAAUACCGGCCAGAGACCGAUAGCGCACAAGUAGAGUGAUCGAAAGAUGAAAAGCACUUUGAAAAGAGAGUUAAAAAGUACGUGAAAUUGUUGAAAGGGAAGCGUUUAUGACCAGACUUGGGCUUGGUUAAUCAUCCAGGGUUCUCCCUGGUGCACUUUUCCAGUCCAGGCCAGCAUCAGUUUGCUUCGGGGGAUAAAGGCUUCGGGAAUGUGGCUCUCUCCGGGGAGUGUUAUAGCCCGUUGCGUAAUACCCUGGGGCGGACUGAGGUACGCGCUUCUGCAAGGAUGCUGGCGUAAUGGUCAUCAACGACCCGUCUUGAAACACGGACCAAGGAGUCGUCUUCGUAUGCGAGUGUUCGGGUGUCAAACCCCUACGCGUAAUGAAAGUGAACGCAGGUGAGAGCUUCGGCGCAUCAUCGACCGAUCCUGAUGUUCUCGGAUGGAUUUGAGUAAGAGCAUACGGGGCCGGACCCGAAAGAAGGUGAACUAUGCUUGUAUAGGGUGAAGCCAGAGGAAACUCUGGUGGAGGCUCGCAGCGGUUCUGACGUGCAAAUCGAUCGUCAAAUAUGAGCAUGGGGGCGAAAGACUAAUCGAACCUUCUAGUAGCUGGUUUCCGC
rnacentral:rRNA from 1 species